rnacentral:rRNA from 1 species
UACGUAGGGGGCGAGCGUUAUCCGGAAUUACUGGGCGUAAAGCGCACGCAGGCGGUUCGCCAAGUUUGGAGUGACAGUUGUCGGCUCAACCGACAAAGGACUUCAAAAACUGGUGAACUUGAGGACGAGAGAGGAACAUGGAACUCCAGGUGUAGUAGUGAAAUGCGUAGAUAUCUGGAAGAACACCGAUGGCGAAGGCG